AUAGAGUACCUUGGAGGCAGGGGUAGAGGGACGAAGCGGAAUAGUCACAGAAGACAAUGGAGAUGAUGUUCAAGCUGAACGUGAAGGAUGACUUUAUCUUUCCUUGGAGGCAUACGCUGAGAAGGUUCCAUAAGAUGAGAAGCAGCCUGGAAUGCUGAGCCAACACAUGAAUGAGGUACCCUGGGACAAAUAGAAAACCCUUCCAGGAGUUUGGGAAGAGUCAAAGCCUGGUCACCUGUCUUGCUCCUGGCUUCCUGGGAUUAACACCACGUGACUAAAAGAAAACUUUUUCCAGCUUUCUCUGGAAGUUUAUGUUUUUUAAAAAGGCAUUAAUAAUAAUAGAUGUUUGUUAAGCAUUUGCUAUUUCCCAAGCACUCUGCUACAAACUUUUCCAUAUUAUUUCAUUUAAUCUUCCCAACAACCCGAUGAAGCAGGAGCUCUUAUUAUUCUCUCCUAACAGGUAAGAAAGCAAAGGCCCUGGAAGGAAAGUCUGUAAUUUCUUAUAGCUGCUUGGCGGCUGGUGUUGGGUUCAAACCCAAGCAGGCUGAUCUGGAACCCGCUUCCCCACCGGGGCACGUCCUCUUCAGAAUGCCCACCAAGCCCCACUCCAUCGCCUCCUCUUUGCCUCUCAUCAGGGUGUGAGGUGUGACACGGAGACAGGCAUAUCUGUCUCUCGUGACUAUUGUUUCUCAACUCUGAGGCUUUUCCUUGACCGAGCAAAUUUACUCUCUCAGUCUGGAUCGUGGUUCUGUAACCACGGGAAUGAGGUUUCUCUCCAUUUGUCAGCCUGGCCUCUGCCAAAGUCUUGCUUUCAAUUUUUGGAAAGGUUGGAUCUCCUCCCCUUUCUUUUUGGAAUGUCUUAAAAC
rnacentral:lncRNA from 1 species